rnacentral:rRNA from 1 species
CCUACGGGGGGCAGCAGUAGGGAAUCUUUCACAAUGGGCGAAAGCCUGAUGGAGCAACGCCGCGUGCAGGAUGAAGGCCUUCGGGUUGUAAACUGCUUUUAUAAGCGAGAAAUAUGAUGGUAACUUAUGAAUAAGGAUCGGCUAACUACGUGCCAGCAGCCGCGGUCAUACGAAUGAUCCGAGCAUUAUCCGGAGUGACUGGGUGUAAAGAGUUGCGUAGGUUGCAUAAUAAGUAGCGAGUGAAAGCUGGUGGCUCAACCAUUCAGACUAUUAGCUAAACUUGUAAGCUCGAGACCGGUAGGGGUAACUGGAAUUGCUAGUGUAGGAGUGAAAUCCGUAGAUAUUAGAAGGAACACCAAUAGCGUAGGCAGGUUGCUGGGACGGUUCUGACACUAAGGCACGAAAGCGUAGGGAGCAAACGGGAUUAGAUACCCUUGUAGUC